rnacentral:misc_RNA from 1 species
CAUCAACCCAUCGAAAGUGGGAAACCCAGUAUUGUAAAUGAAUCAAAAGUCGCAAAUUUCAUGAUUUCUUGUGACAACAAAUCUUGCCAGAGUGGGAAUUCCAAGGAAUUCUGUGAUGGGUAUCAGGAAGAUUUCGAUGCUGAGUCAAUUCUCGAUGAGGAAAUCGAGGAGGGAAUCGAUGGUAUAAUGGGAAAUCUAAGAGUAAGCAAUGAAAACGCCGAGGUCUGGUCUAAUAAAGAUGGGAAUCCAAUGGGAUUUCAUUUCGGCUGGAAAUUCCAGCUGGGAAUUGGAAACGGAAUGAGAAAAGGAGUUAGAGCAUUGAGAUAUGGCGAUGAAGGAAAUUGGUGGAAUUUUCCAAUCGUCGAUAUGCUUCAAAUCUCGCCGAGACUUAACCACAACAACAUCAAGGUUUCAGAUUCGAAGCCGAAAGUGAAGCCGAAUUUUAAUUCCGGCGAGAAAAAGAAGAAGAAGAAGAAGAAGAAGGAGAAGGAAGCUGUGGAGUUGAAGAAUUCAGAGUUGGCGAAGAAGAAUUCAAUUCCGCAACCGAAUUCCGGUUUGUUAUUGAAACUAAACUACGACGGCGGUUUUGGACGCUUGGUCAGACCGUGGGUCUCCGUUUUCGGACGAUCUUUGGGGAUCCGAAGGAAAUGAUUUCUCUGUAUGUUUACCAUCUGAUUACAAUGCAAAUUAGGAAAUCGGUUAGUUGUUAAAAAAAAUUAGGAAAUCGGUUUCCGAUAUUCUAAAUAUCCGGUUCAAAUUCACCGUGUCAUGGCCCGUGUUGCAACGCGCCGC